rnacentral:rRNA from 1 species
ACGUAGGGACCAAGCGUUGUUCGGAUUUACUGGGCGUAAAGGGCGCGUAGGCGGCGUGUCAAGUCAGCUGUGAAAUCUUGAGGCUUAACCUCAAGCGGUCAGCUGAUACUGAUGUGCUAGAGUGCAGAAGGGGCAAUCGGAAUUCUUGGUGUAGCGGUGAAAUGCGUAGAUAUCAAGAGGAACACCUGAGGUGAAGACGGGUUGCUGGGCUGACACUGACGCUGAUGCGCGAAAGCCAGGGGAGCAAACGGGA